UGUGGUAUUAUAAUAGUUACACCUGGCAAAAAAAUGUUCAUAAAAGAUAACCAUUGCAGCUAUUAGAAUGAAUUACUAUAAACUCCAAUGUGUUUAAAUCUAAUGACCCAAUAUUUGCUUAUAAGCUUAUUUACUGCUUUAGUUUCAGCUAAAAAUUUCUUGCUUUUAAUGCAAUUUAUAGAGUGCCUCAAUGAACUACUGUACUUUAUAAAAGUUUAUGCUUACAUGAUGAAUUAACAACCACUUUUAGUCUUUUAUUGUUUGUGUUGUAAUCAGGUACAUCACCAACAAAAAAACAAAAAAAC